GUCCAUCUGAGAAGUGCAUCUGAAAAGCAGUGUGACUGAAAUUUUGCUGAAUUGAUCCGCACAAAGCCGUCAUUCUGAGACACGCGGUGAGCUCAUUGGUAAGGAAUCGCACCGGGGGCCAUUCCCGGCCUCUGAUUGGCUGCCGAGGAUGACCAUUAGGGGUGAGGUCGCGGCCCCGCCAGAUUUUCGUCAAGGUAGGCGGAUGAAGUGGCGCACUAGAAGGUUCCUGGCACAGAGUCACGCUGAAGUCCACCCUCCCUCCUUGCUCCGCCUGCGCUGUACGCCCACAGG
rnacentral:lncRNA from 1 species